rnacentral:rRNA from 1 species
UACGUAGGGCGCAAGCGUUGUCCGGAAUUAUUGGGCGUAAAGAGCUCGUAGGCGGUUUGUCGCGUCUGCUGUGAAAACCUAAGGCUCAACCUUGGGCUUGCAGUGGGUACGGGCAGACUAGAGUGCGGUAGGGGUGACUGGAAUUCCUGGUGUAGCGGUGAAAUGCGCAGAUAUCAGGAAGAACACCCGUGGCGAAGGCGGCUCUCUGGGACGGUACUGACGCUGAGACGCGAAAGCGUGGGGAGCGAACAGG